UGACUCCUACGGGGGGCAGCAGUGAGGAAUAUUGGUCAAUGGGCGGGAGCCUGAACCAGCCAAGUCGCGUGAGGGAAGACGGUCCUAUGGAUUGUAAACCUCUUUAGGCGGGGAGCAAUGCCGGGCACGCGUGUCCGGAGGGAGAGUAACCGCAGAAUAAGCAUCGGCUAACUCAGUGCCAGCAGCCGCGGUAAUACGGAGGAUGCGAGCGUUAUCCGGAUUUAUUGGGUUUAAAGGGUGCGUAGGCGGAUUUUUAAGUCAGCGGGAAAAUGU
rnacentral:rRNA from 1 species